rnacentral:lncRNA from 1 species
GUGCUUAAGCCAUUACUGGUUCAGGGCCCAAAAAAGCAACAAUUAACUUAUCUUUUCCAGUAGAAAAUUCAAUCAGGAUAUUCUGAUGGGCACAGCAUACCAGAAUUGCAGAACCACGGUUUCUGUUCUGCAGUCCCUGUCACCCCAGAGUAACUGAGAAGCAGAGUUGGUUUUUUCAUUUGAAGGUCUGCUUGGAUGCUAGGAUUUCAUAAACACUAAGGAAGUCAAAGUUAAAUUAGCUUCCUCUUUAGUUUUAAAGCUGGCAGACUUUCCUCCCCUUAACUCCUCUAGUUUUAGCCCCUGGUAUUUUCCUGAAAGUUCAGAGACAGAUUGCAUUCUCUACCUUGUUCAUAAAUGCAACUCCCUCCCUACUUUUGUACAUUUUGCUCUGUAAUAGGUAAGUUAUAUUUCCGUUCUAAUGAAAAUGAUGAUGUAAUGAGUCAACCAACAGGAAUUAUUAAUCAAAAUGCUGAAGUCUUCAUUCCAUAAUGGAAAAAGAAAAAAGUGCUAAGGUAAGCUUUGCUAUAGCUUUUUAGUUUUUCUGCUCCUUUAACAACACUGGUAGCAUGAAUGUUGUUUCAGACAUAAUGUAAAUAAUGAAAUGGCUUUGGAUUUUGGUACGAAGUAUCUUUUUAUUUUAUUCUUUUAAGUGAGGAGAAAGUUUUUGAAGCAUGGUUGUUACUGAAUUGACAUGUUGUACUUUUUUUCUGCAACUAUACUAAGACAUCAGUAAAAUAUGUGAAAAUAGUAAGCCUCCCAAAAGGCCUAAAUUAGACAUGACAUCCUUGUAGGUGCAUGUGUUCAAGAGCAAGAUAUUUUAAGACCUGUAUUUUAAUCUAAAUAUGCGUUUGCUAUUAGCAACAGAGGUCAGGCCUUCCCAGAUUAUCCUGUGCACAAGGAAAAUCCAAGUUUGCUUCUUUUGACGCAUAAUAUGGAUGCUUUUACCCUUAGCUACUGACAGUGGUGAAGACAAAGGGAAUUGAAGCAAUGGCUCAGGACUGCAUAAUCCAGAUAGCGUCUAUACCAAUUGCUGAGCUGGAAAACAUCCAAUUUUCAGUCUCUGCUGCAUCUGGUAAGACUUGGUCUCUGACUAUUCAGCUUUACCAGCAAACUAUAGGGCAGUUGUAAGACAG